rfam:Triticum aestivum genome assembly, contig: Triticum_aestivum_CS42_TGACv1_scaffold_288801_4AL
UGAGUACUCCCUCCGUCCGAAAAUACUUGUCAUCAAAAUGGAUAAAAAGAGAUGUAUCUAGAACUAAAAUAAGUCAAGAUACAUCCACUUUUAUCCAUUUUGAUGACAAGUAUUUCCGGACGGAGGGAGUACCAU